rnacentral:rRNA from 1 species
GAUGAACGCUGGCGGCGUGCCUAAUACAUGCAAGUCGAGCGAACGGACGAGAAGCUUGCUUCUCUGAUGUUAGCGGCGGACGGGUGAGUAACGCGUGGAUAACCUACCUAUAAGACUGGGAUAACUUCGGGAAACCGGAGCUAAUACCGGAUAAUAUUUUGAACCGCAUGGUUCAAAAGUGAAAGACGGUCUUGCUGUCACUUAUAGAUGGAUCCGCGCUGCAUUAGCUAGUUGGUAAGGUAACGGCUUACCAAGGCAACGAUGCAUAGCCGACCUGAGAGGGUGAUCGGCCACACUGGAACUGAGACACGGUCCAGACUCCUACGGGAGGCAGCAGUAGGGAAUCUUCCGCAAUGGGCGAAAGCCUGACGGAGCAACGCCGCGUGAGUGAUGAAGGUCUUCGGAUCGUAAAACUCUGUUAUUAGGGAAGAACAUAUGUGUAAGUAACUGUGCACAUCUUGACGGUACCUAAUCAGAAAGCCACGGCUAACUACGUGCCAGCAGCCGCGGUAAUACGUAGGUGGCAAGCGUUAUCCGGAAUUAUUGGGCGUAAAGCGCGCGUAGGCGGUUUUUUAAGUCUGAUGUGAAAGCCCACCGGCUCAACCGUGGAGGGUCAUUGGAAACUGGAAAACUUGAGUGCAGAAGAGGAAAGUGGAAUUCCAUGUGUAGCGGUGAAAUGCGCAGAGAUAUGGAGGAACACCAGUGGCGAAGGCGACUUUCUGGUCUGUAACUGACGCUGAUGUGCGAAAGCGUGGGGAUCAAACAGGAUUAGAUACCCUGGUAGUCCACGCCGUAAACGAUGAGUGCUAAGUGUUAGGGGGGUUUCCGCCCCUUAGUGCUGCAGCUAACGCAUUAAGCACUCCGCCUGGGGAGUACGACCGCAAGGUUGAAACUCAAAGGAAUUGACGGGGACCCGCACAAGCGGUGGAGCAUGUGGUUUAAUUCGAAGCAACGCGAAGAACCUUACCAAAUCUUGACAUCCUUUGACAACUCUAGAGAUAGAGCCUUCCCCUUCGGGGGACAAAGUGACAGGUGGUGCAUGGUUGUCGUCAGCUCGUGUCGUGAGAUGUUGGGUUAAGUCCCGCAACGAGCGCAACCCUUAAGCUUAGUUGCCAUCAUUAAGUUGGGCACUCUAAGUUGACUGCCGGUGACAAACCGGAGGAAGGUGGGGAUGACGUCAAAUCAUCAUGCCCCUUAUGAUUUGGGCUACACACGUGCUACAAUGGACAAUACAAAGGGCAGCGAAACCGCGAGGUCAAGCAAAUCCCAUAAAGUUGUUCUCAGUUCGGAUUGUAGUCUGCAACUCGACUACAUGAAGCUGGAAUCGCUAGUAAUCGUAGAUCAGCAUGCUACGGUGAAUACGUUCCCGGGUCU